AGUCACUGACAUUAGACUACCCCCGUAGUCCCAGCCGUAAACUAUGCGCGUUAGGUGUACUGGUGACCACGAGUCGACCGGGUGCCGAAGGGAAACCGUGAAACGUGCCGCCUGGGAAGUACGGUCGCAAGGCUGAAACUUAAAGGAAUUGGCGGGGAGCACCACAACAGGUGGAGCCUGCGGUUUAAUUGGACUCAACGCCGGGAAGCUCACCGGAUAGGACAGCAGAAUGAUUGCCGGGCUGAAGACCCUGCAUGACUAGCUG
rnacentral:rRNA from 1 species